rnacentral:rRNA from 1 species
AUGGCUCCUACUCUGGAGGAUGUGUCACUUUUGCUCGGACUACCGUUGGCAGGUCAUGCCGUAGGACCGUUGGACGCACCGGCUGGUUGGGAGCGAGCUCUUACAGAACGUUUUCACGGUGUUUUUCCGGAUGCUCCCGAUCCGGUAUGGGAGCAUCACGGACCUAAGUAUGAGUGGUUGCUAAAUUUUCGGAUCCAGAACUUCCGGGCGCCCUUGACUGCGGAACAGAUCACUCGGAGCCUCGAGGCCUACUUACUGUGGCUUUUCGGCAAGGUGAUGUUCACGGAGAACCAUGUCACCACUAUUAGCGCCCUCUACAUCCCUAUGGCACUCGAGAUAGCGAGCGCUCAGACGGCGGAUCAGAUCAGACGGAGGAGUUGGGGUUCGGCGGUGUUAGCGGCUACAUACCGAGGUAUGUGCAACGGUUGCCAGCUUACAUCGAGAAAGCCAGCCCUUCUUGGAUGCCCUCUAUUCCUACAGCUGUGGUCGUGGGAGAGGUUCUCUAUAGGGCGACCAGAUGUACGGGUUCAUGAGCCUAUAGACGCCAUGUUUGAUGUUGAGGGCAUCGACAUGCCUACUUUCGGUCUGUGUUGGACUCGUCGCAAGAGACGCUUUGCUAGUGAUCAGACCAGGAAGGCGUACACAGCAUUGAACGAGCAGUUCGAUGCGUACACCGGGGUCAUCUCGCAGCCCUACACGGAAGCAGCCAUACAAGCGAGAUACCCUGCUGGUAUGUCUGUGCUA